AUGUUCGCCCCUUUUGGCAGUUCUGGUUAUGUGAUUUGUGUCAGUGGCCCACUCUUUUACCCCAUCCAUAGACUUCCUGCUUUACUGGACACUUUUGUUAGGGGCUAUGGGUUUACUUGAAAGAUGAAAGCGUGAGAUUACCAUGGGGUGUGUGUUUUCUCAAAGCUGCAUCCUAUGAGUUUCCCUCCAGCACCAUCUCCAUCAGAUACAUGACGCUUAG